CUUAUAAUGUCCCGACAUCUAUCCGAUGGUAUAAUUAUGAUGAUAGAUCGCUAUAAAUGNGUAUGAGCGUUCAGAUCCAUAACAAAUUCUUUAUAUGGUUAUAAUAGUGGAAAUCGGAUUUAAUGCCGAUUCUACACAUAUGGUAUUGAUAGUUGUGGUAUUCUCGAACCGUUCUUUAUCAUCAGUCAACGGCGUUUAUGUUUUGGGUAAUUACAGGACCCGUCUUGAAACACGGACC
rnacentral:rRNA from 1 species